rnacentral:rRNA from 1 species
GACGAAGGAUCCGAGUGUUAUCCGGAAUUACUGGGCGUAAAGGGCGUCUAGGCGGCCAAGUAAGUCACCCGUGAAAGUCCGCGGCUUAACCGCGGAAUGCCGGGUGAAACUGCUUGACUUGGGUACAGGAGAAGAGGGUGGAACUCACAGAGUAGCGGUGGAAUGCGUAGAUACUGUGAGGUACCCCGAUGGCGAAGGCAACCCUCUGGCCUGCUACCGACGCUGAAGCGCGAAAGCGUGGGGAGCAAAGGGGAUUAGAUACCCCAGUA